rnacentral:tRNA from 1 species
AGGGAUGUAGCUCAGUGGUAGAGUGCUUGCCUAAUAUGCAUGAAGCUCUGGUUUUCAUCCUCA